rnacentral:rRNA from 1 species
UACGUAGGGGGCGAGCGUUGUCCGAAGUUACUGGGCGUAAAGCGCGCGUAGGCGGUCCAUUAAGUCUGGUGUGAAAGGUUGAGGGCUCAACCCCAACAGUGCACUGGAUACUGGCGGACUUGAGUGCGGGAGAGGAGAGUGGAAUUCCUGGUGUAGCGGUGUAAUGCGUAGAUAUCGUAAGGAAGACCAGUGGCGAAGGCGAAUCUCUGGACAGUUACUGACACUGAGGCACGAAGGCCAGGGGAGCAAACGGG